rnacentral:lncRNA from 1 species
GGACAGGGCGGGGCGCAGGGGCAGGAAGGACUCGCGAGAAGAGCGGCCGUGGGUUCAGCAGAUCUCCCGCCCACCGGCUCCUGGCAGGGGUGUGGCAGUGCCGUGCCAGUGACGGCCCCGCUCUGCCUCUGUCCCUCCUGCCCUCCCAGCUCAGGCACUGAGGCCGGAGUCCCGUGGCCGCUGGGGGCUGGGGGCGGAGACGCCGCUGGCACGGGGCAGGGUGGCUGCCAAGGCUGUGGCCCUGGGGUGACAGCUGACGUCUGCCCAGGGGCGUCUGUCUCCGGGCCAAGGGUUGAGCUCUCUGGGCCGCGUGCCAUCCCUGUGACGCGGCCGCCGGCAUCCGCCCGCUGCCUGGGCCUGGCCUCCCCCCUGCACGGCUCGGUGACAGCUGUGGCCCCGCUCGGGCCUCCCUCCACCGGAGCCUGGCGCAGGCCCGCCUCGGGCAGCGGGGAGGACCCCACACACAGCCCCGGGAACCCAGAGGCCAAGUCUGGGCUGAGAACGCUGGGAAAGCCACCACGUGGGCCCGAACGCGCUGUCGCGUCCCAGAGCCGGCCAGCGCAGGGUGGGGGUCCCAGCCUCGCUCCUGCCCCAGCCCCCGCGGGGCUCCCCCAGGCCAGUGAUGGCACGGGGUGCGGGGGCUGGAGAGCAGCCACAGCCCUGGCCUCGGGUCGUCCGCACUGUUCUCUCUGGGAUUUCUGGCAUCCGCCCGCUGCCUCCACCCCUGCCCGCCUUCCGCACGGGCGUCUGUCCGGAAUGCUAGCUGCGCAGGACGACACUCACCCUUACCACAGAGGAGACGCUGCUGUUUCAAAUUCUGACGUUAUUCCUAAAACAGCCGGUGGGGGCCCCUGCCCUGGGGUGUGGCCUGCCCUCUCCGGAAGGCCUGGGUCUCUUUGGGGAAAGACACUGACACACGCGUCACGGGAGGUCAGGGUGGCUUGCUCCUGCCCCAGUUUUGACCAAGGGACCCAUGUCAGGACACCACGCCCCGGGACAGGGCCCCCACAGCCACAUCGAGGGCGUAAACAGGGCUCGGGGCAGUGGACGGCCCAGAGGAGCUCUGAGAGCGCCUCAGUGGGAGGAACUGUCUGCUGGUGUUUCCACACGCUGUGGCCUUCUGCUGGGGGCCUGUGGCCUGUGCCGACUUCGUCCUGGGUCCUCCGGGGGCCUCUUGGGGACUCUGAGCAUGGCGGGGACAUAGAGGAUGGGGCCUUGCCGACAAAGCUCAGGGUCUGA